rnacentral:lncRNA from 1 species
AGCCACACUGGCAAAACACCACGCCCUGCGGAUGAAUACGGAAGAAAUGUAUGCUAAAGAAAAAUGGCCGUCAUGCAAUUUCAUAGCAGUAGACCUUUGUGAAAGCUGUACAGGAACACUGAUAUUGGUUACGUGGUGCAGAUUCGUAGCGUUUCUGAGGUGCUUGUGCGCAAGGAUCGGUAAUGUCGGAUAGCUGCUCUGUGACCGAUGAAGAACAGCGUGCCCGUGAGGAUCACCUUUGCAAACAGAAGCAGGAGUGGGCACGAAAGCAUCGGCGACCAAUUGCAGUAUAUCACAGUGACCACAAAGCAAUGGUUACCAUGGUGACAAAGUAAAUAGAAUAUCAAAGAUAACGAA